AACCAAACCUAGCUAAUUGAUACAAAUGGUACACUUGAUGACAGACCAGCCAAGAAUGAUUUAUUAUACGAUAAUAAAUUACUAUUUUAACAGAAACACCAGGCAAAAAAACGAUGAGAAUGACAUUUUACACAGAUAGUUUUGAACGUUUGCGGAACAUCAAUGGUAUAGGUUUCCUGACUCGUCUAACUAUAAUAUCAGUGAAAAGAUUGUUUGUAAUUGUGUGAAUUUACCAGUAGAGAUAUUAUACGUCGGCGACGGUGUAGAUUUGAUAGCAAACAGUUGUGAAAGUCAUUAAUAAUUCAUGAAGAAAACACAAACGAAAUCAGAGCGUGAAGGAGUUUGUAUAUCUGAUACAAAAUCAUGCUGAUCAACAUAAACUUUAAGCUCAAUUUUCUCACCAAAUAUCAUUCAUUUAUUUGAAAUUGUUGAAGAAUACGAAUGUUCUCAUCAAGAAGUUUCACAAGCCAUUAGGGGGGAGCUUAACAUACCUACGACGCGGACGUGACGAAAAACUGCCGCUAUUUUCACAGUUUCGCCUGACGGGUAAAAACUAUGGAU